rnacentral:tRNA from 1 species
ACGAAAGAUUGACGAUUGGUAAGAAUCCACAACAAGUUGUUCUUCAUACGAUGUAUCUGAGGGUCUGUAGCUCAGUUGGUUAGAGCACACGCUUGAUAAGCGUGGGGUCACAAGUUCAAGUCUUGUCAGACCCACCAAAUCUGACUAACGAAGCAUGAAAGUGCUGAAGCAAACAGAACAGAACGAUACAUUGACUUAUUGAUAAGCUGGGGACUUAGCUUAGUUGGUAGAGCGCCUGCUUUGCACGCAGGAGGUCAGGAGUUCGACUCUCCUAGUCUCCACCA